GCUGGCAUGAAUGAUGAACAAGUGAAAGAAAACUCACCGAGAAAAGAAGAAGAUGACAGGGAAAGUGAACUGAGCUUGCCAUGGCUUGUUAAAAAGAGGUAGGUGACUAGUUUACAAAGGGUUAUAAUGAUGAACUCUUUAUCUCUUUCCUAUUAUUUUAUGUUUUUGUCCUGUUCUGUGAUGAGAAGCCUUUUGGUUAUCUUCUUUGCUCUCUUCUUUAUGUUGGGUUGGGAUGGUAGUGCAAUGUUUGAUUGUAAUAAGUAGUUCAAUCUUUGUAAGGAUGAAGUCACUAAACCUGCCCAGAUGAACUGACAUGUAUUUCUUUAAGUUACAAGUGACAACCAACCUUCUAAAAGCCCUUUUGUUUGUAGCAUCAGUAAUGGCCAAUCUCAAAAUAUUAUGCCACUUUAAGAUUUAGGAAUAAAUCAUAUUCAGGGCCACACAUUUUUUUUUUUUUUAUCGAGUCUUUAUAUUCUUAAUUCGUAAUAUUAAAUUUUAAUACUUUAAUUUUAUGAAAUUUAAAUCAUUUUCUAAAAAUAGAUAUGAAUGUGUAUUAGACGGCAUAUUGAUAACUAUUAAGUUUUCUACUAGAAUUUUUAUGAUUUAUUUUGUGAGAUUGAGUCUCUAUUUUUAUUUUCAUAACAUUAAACCUUUAUACAUUUAUUUUAGUGACAUUAACCUCUAUAAACUAUUAUUUAUCUUUUAAGUUAUAAGAAUGAUAAAAAUUUAUUAUAAUUUAGAUUUAGUUAUAUUUUAUAUUUUAAUAAUAAACUUUUAAUUUAAUUGGAUUGAUACCACUUGAUUUUAAUUUAUUUAAUUAAGAUUCUAAUUUAUUAAUUUUAAUUAGUUAUAUUAACUAAGACAUGAUAUUUUCAUUAAUAAAAAUAAGAGAUAAACUUAUAGAAAAAUUAUAAAAGAAAGUUAUAAUUCUUAGCAAUUAAUACAAUUUAAAGCAAAUUAUAUAUAUUCUAGUAACAAUUUAUUAAUUAUAGAAAUAUUCAAUUAAAAUAGUACCCAAAUCACAUUUCCAUUAAUUAAAUAUAUCCAAUAAUGGCUAAAUAAAAUAUAUAUUAAUUCAUAUAUAUGAUUAUGAAAUUUAAAUGUUCAUUAUAAAAUAAAUUUCUAGCUUUUUUGUAUGUUGACCUAAGUGCAAUUGAUCUCUAUUUUGAUUUUAAUAACCAAAUUAAUUAUCACUAAUACCAUGAUUGAGUGUCUAUGUAACAGAGCAUCAAAGGAACCAAACCUAUCCCAAAUAUUCUUUAGCCUUGAAGUAAAUCUUGUAAAAUUUACCUCAAAAGCGCGAGGGCGCUCCAAAGGCGCGGGAGCGCUUUUCAUACAGUGAAAAAUUUGCAAGACGUUGAAAAGUCCACCUGACAGAAGUUCAAUUAUCUUAUGACACUUGGCAGUCAAAGUGUCAAAGCUCCAAGAAGCGCGAGGGCGCCUCAUUUUAGGUGAGACAAAUUCUGGUAGAUGAUAGCGCAAUGAGAAGCGCGUGGGCGCGGUCAAGGUAAGCGCAAGAGCAGUUUUCACAAUUAAUGCAAUGUCAGUAACCGUUAAGAUAGUAGCCAUCUUAUCGGUGCUACGUGGCUGGAGCCGUUGGAGUUCCAACGUCUCUUUUCAGAAAGCGCGAGCACGCUUGGGAAGCACGGGGGCGCUUUCCAUGACUUUAGACAAAGUCAUCAAAUCUUACAUUGAAGGAGUUUUAGCUUCAUUAUAACAUCUCUAAGGGGUUGGUAUAAGUAUAAAUAUAGCUUCAUUAUAACAUCUCAAGAACCAAGUGUGUGAAUUAUAUAUACCAAAACUCUUACAAAUUUAUUUCUCAACUUCUUACACUCAUUUUCUUUCUCUGUAAAGUGUAUUAAGUUGAAAUCUUUAUUCAACUAAAACUCAAACAAGGUUGUUAUGUGAGCCUAUGUAUUAAACACAAGGAAUUGGUUGUUGAGUAACCAUUAAUACUUAAAGGUUAAGGGACUUAGUGAGAGUUUGAUACACUAAGGGAAGAGGUUUAGUGUGAGCCUUGAAAAUACCAAGUUGUGGGUGAACUUGUAAAAUUCAAAGUUGUAAUCUAAGUGAUUAUAGUGAAAUACUUAAGUGUGAUCUUGAGG
rnacentral:lncRNA from 1 species